CGAAGGCCGCUGGGGGCUGGGCUGUCAGGAGAUCUGCCCCGCGUGUGAGCACGGUGCCGUCUGCGAGCCCGGGACCGGAGCCUGCCUGUGCCGCCCCGGCUACACGGGCAGCCGCUGCCAGGACGCGUGCCCGGCGGGCUGGUUUGGGCCCGGCUGCCAGAUGAGGUGCUCCUGUGCCAAUGACGGGCACUGCCACCCGGUGACCGGACGUUGCAGCUGUGCCCCCGGGUGGACCGGCCUCAGCUGCCAGAGAGCCUGCGACAGCGGCCACUGGGGACCCAACUGCAGCCACACCUGCAGCUGCAGUGUAGGCCACGGGAGUUGCGAUGCGGUCAGCGGCCUGUGUGCGUGUGAGGCCGGC